CAUGCAAGUCGAACGGAAGUUAGAGCUUCGGUUUUAACUUUAGUGGCGAACGGGUGAGUAACGCGUGAGGAACCUGCCUUUCAGUGGGGGACAACAGUUGGAAACGACUGCUAAUACCGCAUGACACUUUUGGGAGACAUCUCCUGGAAGUCAAAGCUUUAAGUGCUGAAAGAUGGCCUCGCGUCUGAUUAGCUAGUUGGUGAGGUAACGGCUCACCAAGGCGACGAUCAGUAGCCGGUCUGAGAGGAUGAACGGCCACAUUGGGACUGAGAUACGGCCCAGACUCCUACGGGAGGCAGCAGUGGGGAAUAUUGGGCAAUGGGGGAAACCCUGACCCAGCAACGCCGCGUGAAGGAAGAAGGCCUUCGGGUUGUAAACUUCUUUUACCAGGGACGAAGGACGUGACGGUACCUGGAGAAAAAGCAACGGCUAACUACGUGCCAGCAGCCGCGGUAAUACGUAGGUUGCAAGCGUUGUCCGGAUUUACUGGGUGUAAAGGGCGUGUAGGCGGAGAUGCAAGUUGGGAGUGAAAUCCAUGGGCUCAACCCAUGAACUGCUCUCAAAACUGUAUCCCUUGAGUAUCGGAGAGGCAAGCGGAAUUCCUAGUGUAGCGGUGAAAUGCGUAGAUAUUAGGAGGAACACCAGUGGCGAAGGCGGCUUGCUGGACGACAACUGACGCUGAGGCGCGAAAGCGUGGGGAGCAAACAGGAUUAGAUACCCUGGUAGUCCACGCUGUAAACGAUGAAUACUAGGUGUGGGAGGACUGACCCCUUCCGUGCCGCAGUUAACACAAUAAGUAUUCCACCUGGGGAGUACGACCGCA
rnacentral:rRNA from 1 species